GAUGAACGCUGGCGGCGUGCCUAAUACAUGCAAGUCGAGCGAACGGACGAGAAGCUUGCUUUUCUGAUGUUAGCGGCGGACGGGUGAGUAACACGUGGAUAACCUACCUAUAAGACUGGGAUAACUUCGGGAAACCGGAGCUAAUACCGGAUAAUAUUUUGAACCGCAUGGUUCAAAAGUGAAAGACGGUCUUGCUGUAACUUAUAGAUGGAUCCGCGCUGCAUUAGCUAGUUGGUAAGGUAACGGCUUACCAAGGCAACGAUGCAUAGCCGACCUGAGAGGGUGAUCGGCCACACUGGAACUGAGACACGGUCCAGACUCCUACGGGAGGCAGCAGUAGGGAAUCUUACGCAAUGGGCGAAAGCCUGACGGAGCAACGCCGCGUGAGUGAUGAAGGUCUUCGGAUCGUAAAACUCUGUUAUUAGGGAAGAACAUAUGUGUAAGUAACUGUGCACAUCUUGACGGUACCUAAUCAGAAAGCCACGGCUAACUACGUG
rnacentral:rRNA from 1 species